rnacentral:lncRNA from 1 species
AGACAUUCCGUCGAGUUCUCCUCCCCCCACUCUCUCUCUCUCUCUCUCUCUCUCGGCAUACAAUUAUAUAUUGGUGGCUAGAUAUCUUCACCCUAAACCGACUCUUGGUGGCCCAUGUGAAGCUCUCCUUUUUCUCUCUCUCGCGCUCUACCCAUUUUUAAAAGUUACUCGACAGUAACAUGUGAAGUGCUUUUCUCUCACUCUCUCCAUAUCGACGCUCUAAGCUAAUACAGUCGGUGGCCGGUGCGAAGCUCCAUGUCCCACCUGAAAGCACUCAAUCUCUUCCUCUAAAUCUAUGACCGUCGGUGACGCACCCACCCACCGGCGGAAGAGAAAACCGGCCGCCCUCUUUUUCUCUCUCAUACUCUCUAGCCCUGAGCUUCUUUCUCCUUGUGGCGGGCAGAGUGC